GCGCCGGUGGUGUACGGUACACGCGCCGUCCCUGUAACAGUUAGGCAAGUGCCAAGACUUCAAUGGCGAGUUGGGGUUCGACUCCCCGCCGGCGCA